rnacentral:rRNA from 1 species
CGGACGGGUGAGUAAUGUCUGGGAAACUGCCCGAUGGAGGGGGAUAACUACUGGAAACGGUAGCUAAUACCGCAUAACGUCGCAAGACCAAAGAGGGGGACCUUCGGGCCUCUUGCCAUCGGAUGUGCCCAGAUGGGAUUAGCUAGUAGGUGAGGUAAAGGCUCACCUAGGCGACGAUCCCUAGCUGGUCUGAGAGGAUGACCAGCCACACUGGAACUGAGACACGGUCCAG